GAUGAACGCUAGCGGCAGGCCUAAUACAUGCAAGUCGAACGGUGUCUUCGGACAUAGUGGCGCACGGGUGCGUAACACGUAUGCAACCUACCUUACAUUGGGGGACAGCCUUUCGAAAGGGAGCUUAAUACCGCAUAAGACAGUAGCUGGGCAUCCAGCAGCUGUUAAAGAUUUAUCGAUGUAAGCUGGGAAUGCGUCCAAUUAGCUAGUUGGUGAGGUAACGGUUCACGAAGGCAAUGAUUGGUAGGGGAACUGGGACGUCAAUCACCCACACUGGCACUGGGAGACGGGCCAGACGCCUAGGGGAGGCAGAAUUUGGGAAUAUUGGGCGAUGGACGGAAGGCUGACCCAGCCAUGCCGCGUGCAGGAUGAAGGCGUUAUGCGUUGUAAACUGCUUGUAUACAGGAAGAAACGACUCUUGCGAGAGGCAUUGACGGUACUGUAUGAAUAAGCACCGGCUAACUCCGUGCCAGCCGCCGCGGUAA
rnacentral:rRNA from 1 species